UACGUAGGCAGCGAGCGUUGUUCGGAGUUACUGGGCGUAAAGGGUGUGUAGGCGGUCUUCCGUGUCUGGUGUGAAAUCUCCCGGCUCAACUGGGAGGGUGCGCCGGAAACUGGAGGGCUUGGAGUGCGGGAUGGGAGAGUGGAAUUCCUGGUGUAGCGGUGAAAUGCGUAGAUAUCAGGAGGAACACCGGUGGUGUAGACGGCUCUCUGGACCGUAACUGACGCUGAGACACGAAAGCGUGGGUA
rnacentral:rRNA from 1 species